GAUGAACGCUGGCGGCGUGCCUAAUACAUGCAAGUCGAGCGAACGGACGAGAAGCUUGCUUCUCUGAUGUUAGCGGCGGACGGGUGAGUAACACGUGGAUAACCUACCUAUAAGACUGGGAUAACUUCGGGAAACCGGAGCUAAUACCGGAUGAUAUUUUGAACCGCAUGGUUCAAAAGUGAAAGACGGUCUUGCUGUCACUUAUAGAUGGAUCCGCGCUGCACUAGCUAGUUGGUAAGGUAACGGCUUACCAAGGCAACGAUGCAUAGCCGACCUGAGAGGGUGAUCGGCCACACUGGAACUGAGACACGGUCCAGACUCCUACGGGAGGCAGCAGUAGGGAAUCUUCCGCAAAGGGCGAAAGCCUGACGGAGCAACGCCGCGUGAGUGAUGAAGGUCUUCGGAUCGUAAAACUCUGUUAUUAGGGAAGAACAUAUGUGUAAGUAACUGUGCACAUCUUGACGGUACCUAAUCAGAAAGCCACGGCUAACUACGUG
rnacentral:rRNA from 1 species